UUGAAACUCGAUUUGUUAGGCCUCGAGAAUAGUAGAUAAAUAGAGCUCGAGUUAAAAAGAUAAAGCGGCCAAUCGGAAAACCCGUCUGCUGUUGAAAGCUGGUAUUACGAUUGGCAUGCAACACAGGAAAUGAAACCAGGGAUUAAGUCCACUGAUUGAGGCUACAAGCAAACAUCAAUCAUCGACCAGAACGAAUCCGGAUGGUGGUGGACUGCACCGAAAGUCGGAAUCGUCAGUGCUGUUUAAUGGGUUGCAAUUAGGGCCCGGGCACUAUCACCGAGUGAGCAAUCCAGCUACUGGUCAUAUUAUUGUCUGCAGUUCUUUUACUUCGAGACGAUGAAUGUUGUCAAGCUAUCGAUAAUCCUUGGCCGGAUUGUUCUAAUUUUUCAUAACUUCCGUAGUAGCGAUAAGCGAUAUGGCCCCCCUCCAUAAUGAAAAUUAAGUAGUUCCGGUUGUUCAAGGAAGUUUUAUCCGACUCUUGAACUAUAUAAAGGUGGAUUAUUCAAUUUAAACUGUUUCAAACCUUUAUUAUUAUUCUUUGUUUCAGUUCAUAAAAAGGAAUCGAUUGUUCACUGAGAGGAUUUGAGGAUAACAAUGCAGAGUGAUUCAGCAAAUGAAGUCACUAUCAGCAGCACCAGUCUUAGGCUCAACAGGUCGACAAGCUAAUUAUGCUAGUGUGACAUCAGAAUGAUUCCUGUCCAUCAGAAAUCGAUUCAGGAUUCCAAACCAGAAAACUUUUGGUAUAGAAGUUGUCGUCUUGAGGAUCAGCUAAUCUGCGUGAAUCCUACCAAAUUAUGAAUAUCCAUCCAGAUAGUACAUAAUGACAUCAGAUUUAGGUCAUUGGCUAAACCAUUGUUUUUUUGCAAACUUCCGUGGAUGGCUCAGCUGCAGUUUGGAACAGUUGUUUGGGGCACCGGUCCUAAAGAGAUGCACCGAAAAUGGAGUCCAUAUUUACAAAUACUACUCAUCCUCCUGUGAAAGAGACAUUGAAAAAUUUGACCGAUCCAGACGAAAGACAAAAUGAUUCCUGGUAUCGAUCAAGGAAAACAUGGUGA